AUUGCUUCCUGUGGUUUCCCAAAAGCCAUUCAAAAAAUGAAUCUUCACUCUGGUAAACAUCCGCUCUCUCUCAAACCCCUCAUCCUCCCUCUGUCUCUCUAUCUAUUCGUUCUCGCUCUCUCUCUCUUUCUCUUUUGGAUGAACCAGUGGAAAACCCCGUCUGUCGGUUUACCUCUCCUUCUAUCUAUUCGUUCUCUCGCUCUCUCUCUCUUGGCUGAACCAGGGGAAAACCCCGUCUCUCGCUCUACCUCUCCCUCUCUCUACGUCUCAGCACGAAGCCACCGCCUGCGCUAUCUCUCUCACAGCGACUGCCUGCGCCACCUCUCUCUGCAAACGGGCCAUCUCCCCUCUAUCACGAUUUACAGUAUGGUUCUGAUGCUAGUAUUGUAGGCCCUAACAAUGUCAUCUGAUUUUACAAGUAAUCGAGGAUAUAGACUUCGACAAUGGCCUAAGUGCAAUAUAAAUUGUGCUACGAAAGCAUCGGCAAGCUCAAAUAACCCAAACAUGAUGUUCUAUGAAUGUCUAUUAUGUGGGUUCUUCCAAUGUUGUGAUGAAUAUGUUACUGCCGUGCAAAAUAUUAAUUUCAGGCAUCACAAUACACAAAAGUGGAAUCCAUGCAUGAAUCACAAGAACGUGUCAUGGUCAAUCAAGAAAUAAGUGUUGGUCAUGAUACGAUACUCGGUGCCAUAAGGUGUUUGCAACAAUUCUUACUUGGUGCCUUUGGGUGUUUACAAUAAUUUUUGUAUUUCAUGUGUAUAAUAAAUGUAUGCUUGCUUGUGCUCUUUUAUAUUUUUGUAGUCCUUAUUCGAAACAUAUGAUAGUUUUUUAGGAUUGCUUUUUUACUAAUGUAAUUAUUUCCAUUGUGGAUUUCAA